rnacentral:rRNA from 1 species
GAUGAACGCUAGCUACAGGCUUAACACAUGCAAGUCGAGGGGAAACGAUGAGAGAGCUUGCUCUCUUAGGCGUCGACCGGCGCACGGGUGAGUAACGCGUAUCCAACCUACCCAUUACAGGGGGAUAACCUUGCGAACGUAAGACUAAUACCCCAUGGCAUUUUAUGGUGGCAUCAUUAUAGGAUUAAAGAUUUAUUGGUAAUGGAUGGGGAUGCGUCUGAUUAGCUUGUUGGCGGGGUAACGGCCCACCAAGGCAACGAUCAGUAGGGGUUCUGAGAGGAAGGUCCCCAACAUUGGAGCUGAGGCACGGUCCAAACUCCUACGGGAGGCAGCAGUGAGGAAUAUUGGUCAAUGGGCGAGAGCUUGAACCAGCCAAGUAGCGUGCAGGAGGACGGCCCUAGGGGUUGUAAACUGCUUUUAUAGGGGAAUAAAGUGAGCUACGUGUAGUUUAUUGCAUGUACCCUAUGAAUAAGGACCGGCUAAUUCCGUG